ACGAUUCAUCAACUGAGAGAUCGGCUACAAGAGUCAAAGGGAUUCACCCAUUAUUAAACCGGUUAAAACCAGUUCCAACGAGGUGCUACAGAGUGGACUUCUCCCGAUCAAGGUAGAAUUGGGCCACCUCACUGCCUGAUCCGAGUUUGGAAUACCUUAGUGGAGAAAAUUGAUCACAUGUUUGAGACGUUGUUAGAAAACGGAGACGG
rnacentral:lncRNA from 1 species